rnacentral:rRNA from 1 species
AACGAACGCUGGCGGCAGGCUUAACACAUGCAGGUCGAGCGCCCCGCAAGGGGAGCGGCAGACGGGUGAGUAACGCGUGGGAAUCUACCGUGCCCUACGGAAUAGCUCCGGGAAACUGGAAUUAAUACCGUAUACGCCCUACGGGGGAAAGAUUUAUCGGGGUAUGAUGAGCCCGCGUUGGAUUAGCUAGUUGGUGGGGUAAAGGCCUACCAAGGCGACGACCCAUAGCUGGUCUGAGAGGAUGAUCAGCCACAUUGGGACUGAGACACGGCCCAAGCUCCUACGGGAGGCAGCAGUGGGGAAUAUUGGACAAUGGGCGCAAGCCUGAUCCAGCCAUGCCGCGUGAGUGAUGAAGGUCUUAGGAUUGUAAAGCUCUUUCACCGGUGAAGAUAAUGACGGUAACCGGAGAAGAAGCCCCGGCUAACUUCGUGCCAGCCGCCGCGGUAACAC